UGCUGUUAUCCAUCUUUCAGCAUAUUUAUCAGUUAAAAGCUUUUACUCGAGGGAGCUCCCUAGGGUUGGUCUAUUUCAGCCAUUGAGAAGGGUCUGAAUCCAUCAUUUGCAAUUGGUCGUCAAAUCUUUGUAUCAACCAUUAUAAAUACAUACGGGUAAGGAAGAGGUUGGGGAAUGACUGCCACAAAUUACACUAUUAUUUACAUCACUUUUUACACAUAACUUUAGCUUGUAUAAUAGUUAAAUCAAAUCAUCGUAGUACAUAUUUAUGUUUUUAUGCUUGAAAUAGUGAUUUAUGUUUUUUAGCAGUUUUUAUUACAUUUAAAAUAUCUAAAUAAGGUUAUGGGAUUAUGUAGGUCAAAUUGGGAGCUAAAUAUGCACAUGCUAGCCAAAACUGAUGCCUAGGUCGCGACACCAAGACACUGAUGUCGCAACACCAAAAAAAGAAGCAAAAAGAAGAAUUGGAACGAAACUGCCUACUAUGUCGCGAAACACUUCCUGCUAUGUCGUGACACUGACCUAUGUUGCAACACGGCUUUUGCACGUUGAAAUAGUAGAUCUAGAGAAGAACUAGAGCGAAGCAUUAUAGAGCUACCAAGUAGAGACGAUAAAGAAUCUUCAAGAUUAUUUACUGAAGUUGAAUUAAACAUCUUGUUGCAUGCCCAGGUUAUUGUCGGGCCUUCCAAUGUUCAAUGCGUAGACUUCAAUGCUCUAAGUUACCUUACUGAUGCCAAGUUAGGUUUCAACAUUUUUUUCCCCUUUUGGAGCGGAAAGAGAAGAGUUUUCAGAACAUUGGAAAAAGUUAGAGAGACUUUUCCUAUCUGAUGAACUUGCUGAGGCAUGCAUUGUUCGCAUUGAAGAGGCAGUUGAGGGUGGGGGCAACGAAGAAGAAGACAUUGAAGUUGACAUGGAUGGUGUAGACCAAAACAACUAGCUUUAUAUAUGUUGACUUGUAUUUGAUGUGUUUUGGUUUGUAAUUUGAAUUGAAUUUUGUUAGAUUGAUAGAGCUCUAAUUUUGAAUCACUCAUUGUGGGUUUAUUUUAUUUUCUGUCAAUUUAUUAUUUGACAACGUUGAACUACUACUGUGAUCGAAUUUAAUUUGAAAAAGAUACACCUA
rnacentral:lncRNA from 1 species